AUGGCAUCUGUAAGCCCAUCUCCGGAAAAAUCUUCAUCAUUUCUUCAAAUGACAUCUAUAAGCACAUUCUCAAAUCAAUACAUCAUCGAGUGUAAAUUUCUGGGGACUUUGGUGUUCAAUCAUCUUUCACAUUCAAGUCACGAAAGGCGGAUCCGCCAGUCUCACUCUUCAAGUUUAAAAAGAUUAAACAAGGGCAGCUGUUGUACCCCAAAAUUUCCCUCUCAAUUUCUCAAAGAUUCUCUCACAAGAUCUCAAUUGAUUUAA